AGAAACUUAGGAUAAUUGACCAAAAGCCUUCAAAGCCUUAAGUAGAAGUGAAAAUCUUCUAGUUUCUG
rnacentral:tRNA from 1 species